rnacentral:tRNA from 1 species
UAGGUCGUAGUGCAGAGGUCGUCACGCCACCUUGCGAAGAUGGAAGACGCCGGUUCGAAUCCGGCCGGCCUAC